AGAGGAGAUCCCCAAAAAAUCCAAAAUGGACGGACGCCACCGUCGUCGCCAUCGCCGGCGACGGAUAUGACUCCGUCCGCCGCGCCCUCGUCGCCCAGACCGAAGAGAUCCACCCCUAUGCCGAACCCCCUUCCCCCCAGAGCCCGCCUCUGGACGCCGCGGCGGCGCAGCCCGAGCAGCGGCGGAAGCGCAGCGGUGGCCUCGCUGGACCGUGUUCCGUGUGGCUUCACCGUCGCCAUGAUGAUACUCGUGGACGACGCGGGCGGGGCGUGGCCGGGCAUCAAUCACGCGCCGUGGUUCGGGCUUCGGGGUGACGGUGGCGGACUUCGACAUGCCCGCCUUCCUCUUCAUCAUCGGCGUCUCCGCGGCACUCGUCUUCAAGAUGCUGAGCUGCAGAAAAUGCCAAAUAAGACGGCAGCAACUAAGAAGGCUGUGGUUAGGGCUAUCAAGCUUUUCAUCUUGGGAUGAUACAUUCAUGGACGACACAAAUUAACAUUUCGUGUCGAUUUGGAGCAAAUUUGAUGGCUACUUAGCUAGGUGUGCAGCAGCAACAAUUUCAGAGAUUUGUCUUGUCAAGAAUAAUUUGGUGGAUUCAUCUGUAUCAUUUGUGAAGAAUACUUCAUGGAGUGCCACAGUGUUGCACACUUCUGCAAAUUAUUCAUUCCAAACGACAAUGCUGCACAAUAGUGAAUUAUUUAUUCAAAACGACCCAAACUGAUAUCCCAGAUACACAACCUUUAUAGUAGUGAGACUAAGACUAAGAAUCUGCAUCCUCCCGACUCAUGAGUGCUUCAACAGCUUCUUUCACACCCAGAGCCUCAUUUGCCUCAGCAAA